UCCUCACUGAGGCUGAGCUAAGCCAGGUGGUAUGACCUUGAACAUCCAGAACUGUGAGCUAGAAUAAGCCUCUUCACAAAGUACUGAGUCUCAGAUCCAAGAUUGAUUUCAAGAACUUCUGAGAUCGCUGUUCUUCUUGCAUUGAAAGUAAACCACAUGGCCCAGAUGUGAAAACUGGUUCAGAGACGUGUGACUACCUGCUGCCCAAGGUCACAGGGCAAGAGAAGGCCAUAUCAGUUCUGACCAAGGUCCCCUCUAUCCCGGUCCCUGUUCCUGUGGCUCAUGUAACCCUCACCCAGCCCCCGGGCUGUCACCUUCCCUGUCCUCCGGGGAGGGAUCUGUGACCCAGAGCAGUGCACUGAAGGAGCAGGUGCCUCUGAGACACCUGCAGCCCUGCCUCCUUCCUCCUACUGUGAGCUCUUCCUGUCAGGGAAGGGGAAGGAGAUAGGGACCAAGGUGUGACCUUGCCUGCUCUCCAGGUUCUGGCUCCCUCAGGGGACUCUAGGCGUGGGGUGAGUGGGGAAAGUCCCAAGCUGACAACCCAGGGACACUCUCAGCAACCUGUGGAAGCAGAAAGCAGCCCUGAGGGUCAGGGGGUGCUUCCUGGGAGAGAAGACAUCUGAGCUGGUGUUUACAGGUUCAGAAGUACAUUGGAUAACAUCCAACAUCUAUUUCUGAUAGAAACUCUGAGCAAAUAAUCAAGAUCCUGUGGUACCAUCAAGAGACAGAUAAAUCAGGGGGACAAAGUUGAAGGUUGAAAACUGUACACACUCAAAUAUGGAUAGCCCUUUUCACAAUUGCUAAGUGCAGAGCUGCAAAUGGCAGAUGCAAGGAGAGGUGCCAUUCAGAAGCACUUAGCAGCCUCAUCCAGCACUGAGCACCUACAACUGAG
rnacentral:lncRNA from 1 species